UUUAUUAUUUACUAAAACAAAAGCACCCACGAACCCACGCAGUACUCACCAUUAUCUAUAUCGAGAAGAACAAUAGGGUUCAUAUGUCUCUCUCUGCCUUCGCUUCACAACAAAAUCACCAUCAUCACUCCUCUCACCACAACCAUAAUCAUAAACCCUAAAUCGAUAAUCAACAAAAAAGUAUUGAUAUAGCGACUGCUCUACGUUUCCAGAUUUAGAAAGAGUCAUCGGUUGGGUUAGCUACACAAUCUGCCCAUCCUGGUAAUUUCUUAAACUCAGUGUAGAUUUAUUGCUUUUAUUUCUUAUCCCGCCUUUCAAUUUAUGUUAUACAUGUGAGUGAAUAAGUGAUUAUAAAGUGCUUUUCCCUAAUAAGUGAUUAUUUGUGUCAUGCCAAGAUCUUUUAAUUAUACCUGGAACCAUUUUAAUAGCUUUUUUAAUCUGCUGUGUGAUGUAUUUUCGUGUCAGUAUCCUACAGCCUAGCCAAAUUUCUUGACAGAAAGGAAAUUUUUUUUCUUUAGGGCUGUUGUUAGCCUGUUACAAGUUCUUUCUUGGACUCAGCUUGUUUAUGUAGUUCCAGGUGUUGUCUAAUAAGAUGUUUAUUCAGUUGUCAAAAUCUACGAACUCCGUAAAUUUUCCAAUGAUAACCCCAAAUAAUUAUCAAUUUCUUGUUCAAGUGUUUGAGCUCCUUGUCACUUAAAUCAGGUUUAUGAUCAAAAGAAAAUAAAGAAUCUGACCCCUGAAUUUGUGAAUUAAGAAAAGGAAUCAUGUGUCUUGCAUAUAGUUAAAGUAACUUAGGAAUCGUGGAUACAGUUAUUAUGUUCAUUGUUCUAGCAUGUUUGAUACAAAGUUUGUGGUAGUAUCUCCAAAUAAAAUGAUAUUUUUCAAAAGUGACCAUGGACAUCGUGAUCGUGAGUCAUAUUAUGGAGAUCUUCUUACAAAUACCCUUGUGAAGGUAAAAGAUAUAUUUAAUUUAAACAUGUCAUACUUCCAGAUUUUGCUUUAUUAGAAUUAAAGGUAACAUUAAUCAUUCUCUAAGAUUUAGAAUUAUUACGAUUUGGUGUUUUAAUUGUAUAGUGUAAAAUGGAGCAAAACCUCUCGUUCUGCCGACAACUGGUAUGAUCACAUCUGGCCCUCUAAACUCAUCAGGACUUCCGAGGAACGUGUUUGGUCCAUUAGAAUCUUUAGGGUUGAUGAAAUCGCAUAGUGUUGUUGUAGUUCAUAAUCCAAUUGUGACUACUCUUAGUGUGGAAUGUGGACGAUGAGUAUUCCUUCAAAAAUAACUUCCGGAAGCCAAUAUUGUGGCAUGUGAUUCUGACUUUUGUUAUGGGAUUCAUUGUCGGUGGCUUUAUUGUCGGUGCUGCCCACAAUGCUAUAUUGCUUAUUGUUGUAGUAAUUCUUUUUGGCGCGGUUGCGGCAUUGUUCACUUGGAAUAGUUGUCAGGGAAGAAAAGCAAUUGUUGAUUUCAUUUAUAAAUAUCCAGAUGCAGAGCCAAGAACUGCCGAGAAUAGACAGUUUGUGAAGGUUUCCAGGGUACGUAAUUUAACAUUGAUGCAUUGAUUAACUAAACAUGUAUAAUACAUUGUAUAUUAGUGUUAUAUAUGCAUGAUUGAGGGAAAUAAAGUGUUGAAGGUGGUUACUUGUGGGAAUGUUUCCUUAGAUUCAUCCUUUCAAAAAGUUCCAAGAUGUGUUUAUACCUCUGCUACCUUGUAUGAAUAUAGAGGAUUAUAUAGAGGAUGGGAUUCCAAAGCAGCUAAUGCAAAACAUCACUACUUUACCUGGGGACUUCGUUUGACCGAGGUAAGCAAUAGUCAGUUCUAUCUUUUCUUUUUAGAUUGCCAAGUUUUAUUUGAGUUUGAUAAAAUAUUGUGACUUGUUGAAUUAUUGUGAUAGAAUAUGCUUUGCUUAUGUGGAUUGUUGAGAUGUGAACAAAAUAGAAUAUGCCACGGUUACUGAAUAUAAUACCAAUUUGAUAGUAAAUACAUGAAUCUUAAUUCUUAAUUUCCCUAAUUACAUGAAACUCAAACUAACUUGUAAACAAUGAAUUUGGGAGCUGUGAAGCGUACAUACCAUGGUCUUGGGAAGAGAUCUAUAGGUGUUGUGAAAUUUGAUACCACUAAUAUUUUGUUUACAUUUAAUAUACUGCAAGUGAAACUUUUCUUUUUCCUAGUUUACAGUUCCUGUCUUUCCAAAUAUAAUGACAUAGUUUAAUCUAAAGAGUUGUGAUUUUCAUUAAUUGUUUAGAAAGUGAAUGAUAUAAUUAUUAGGAAUAGAGGAAUAGAUGUAACAUUUCAAUUUGUUGUCACUGUUUACAAAUCAAAGGUGAAAUAUGCAUAUGCUUGCUUUACAUUGAGUCGCCUCGUAAAUUUGAACAUUUAAAAUAGGUAUAUUCUUUGAAAUAUUAUAUAUGAAUAUCAAAUUAUGAAGGACAUAUAUAAUAAUUUUAAUAUUUAAAAUAUAAAUUGUCAGCUUUUUAAAUAUCUCCAUUUAAGAGUUGGAAAACAAACGUUGGAUGCCAAAAAAUAUACAUCUUCAUUUAAUUAAGGCUUUUGUUUUUCAUAUCUUAUAAUUAAACAUUAUAUUUGGAAAGACAAAUUAUGCUUGCAUGAUCUAAACCAUCACUUUUCUUCCCAUUUUGUUGUCUCAACUGGAAGGACAAGUCAUUACUAUUAAGCAACAUAAAUUGGCUAGUUCUCAAGGUGAUGUCGAGUUUUGCUCUUAGGUAGAAGUCCCGAGUUGUGCUCAGCACCGGAAUGUUGUUAUGUUGAUUGGAUUAUGUAUGGAGGAUAAGAGAAGGCUGGUGGUUUAUGAGUACAUAUGUGAUGGAUCAUUUGAUUCACAUUUAUAUGGCGGGAAAGGGAUACAUUAGAAUGCUCUGCAAGGUAGAAAACUGUUGUUAGAGCUGCUCGCGGGCUAAGGUCUUCACGAAGAGUGCAGAGUUGGUUGUAUCAUCCACCGCGACAUGAUUUAGCUUAACAGGCGACAAAGGGAUCUAUGAGAAUGGUCUUCAAGGUAGAAAAUUGUUGUUGGAGCUGCUCGCGUAGUAAGAACACGAAGUUGUAAAGAAGCCUUAAAAUCACACUGUGCUGCCAUCAUUUGUCUCAUUUGGGAAGAGGACAGACACAUAGUUAUUGUAUGAUUCUUCCGUCCGAGAGAGAGAUGUUUAUGCUUGUCAUUUUGUUAGAUAAUUUGACCUACCAUCACUAGUUUUCUUGAUUUACUUCUUACUGUCACUAGCAGUUAUUAUUUGUUAAGGAAAUAAAAAGCUUUGGUUUUUAUGCUC